CCUACGGGUGGCAGCAGUAGGGAAUCUUUCACAAUGGGCGAAAGCCUGAUGGAGCAACGCCGCGUGCAGGAUGAAGGCCUUCGGGUUGUAAACUGCUUUUAUAAGCGAGAAAUAUGAUGGUAACUUAUGAAUAAGGAUCGGCUAACUACGUGCCAGCAGCCGCGGUCAUACGUAGGAUCCGAGCAUUAUCCGGAUUUACUGGGUGUAAAGGGAGCGUAGACGGCUUGGCAAGCCAGAUGUGAAAGGCUGGGGCUCAACCCCAGGACUGCAUUUGGAACUGUCAUGCUAGAGUGUCGGAGAGGCAGGCGGAAUUCCUAGUGUAGCGGUGAAAUGCGUAGAUAUUAGGAGGAACACCAGUGGCGAAGGCGGCCUGCUGGACGAUGACUGACGUUGAGACUCGAAAGCGUGGGGAGCAAACAGGAUUAGAUACCCCGGUAGUC
rnacentral:rRNA from 1 species